CGUUUGUUCAACGAUUAAAACCUCACGCGAUCUGAGUUCAGACCGGAGAAAUCCAGGUCAGUUUCUAUCUGUAAAGAGCUCUUUCCAGUACGAAAGGACAGAAAUAGCAUGGCCAAUAUAUUAUGCAAGCCGUAUUUAAUAACUUCUGAUUAUUCUUAAAAAAUUAUUACCCUCCUACUUUUACUCAAAACCAGAGAA
rnacentral:rRNA from 1 species